UACGUAGGGUGCAAGCGUUGUCCGGAAUUAUUGGGCGUAAAGAGCUCGUAGGCGGUCUGUCGCGUCUGCUGUGAAAACUCAGGGCUUAACCCUGAGCUUGCAGUGGGUACGGGCAGACUAGAGUGCGGUAGGGGAGACUGGAAUUCCUGGUGUAGCGGUGAAAUGCGCAGAUAUCAGGAGGGAACACCGGUGGCGAAAGGCGGGUCUCUGGGGCCGAAAU
rnacentral:rRNA from 1 species